AAAUUAAUAAAAUUGUUUAUUUAAGUAUUUUAUUUUGAAAUUUGAAUUAAAUAAAUUUAUGUUAUUGUAGAAUUAAUUGAUUAAAUUUUUUUUACUAUAGUAAAUUAGUACUGUGGAGGAAUUUUAAAUUAAAUAUUUAUAAUUAAUUAAAAGUAAUUUUAUUUAUUGUAUCUUGUGUAUUAAAGUAUAUUGAAAUGAAUUAUAUAUUUUUUUUCUUCUCGAAUUUUAAAGAUUUAAUUAAAUAUAUUAAUUAUUGUGUUAUAAAUAUUAAUAAUUUUUAAUUGGUAAUGAAAUGUUAUUCGUUUUUAAGGAUAUCUAGUUUUUUAAUAAAUGAAUUUAAUUCAGAGAAUAUUAAGUUAUUAAAUAAUUUUUUUUAUUUAAAUAUUUUAUAUUUUUAAUUUGAAAGGGGAUAAACUCUUUAAAAUAUAAUUAUAAUAUGAUGAUUAAUGAGAAUUUUAUGAAUUUAGAAUUUGUUAAUAAUUAAAGGAUGUUAAAAUUUAAUUCUUGUAUUUGUAAAUUUUUAAUUUUUAUUUAAUUUUUAUAUUAAAAUUUUAGGUUUAAUUUAGAAAUUUUAGUAAAUAUGAUUUAAUUAGUAAAAUUUAUUUUUAUAUGAUUAAUAAUAUUGAAUUGUUAAUAUGAAGAAUUAGGCAAAUAUUUUACUCGCCUGUUUAUUAAAAACAUGGUUUCUUGUAAUUUUUUUAAGAAAUCUGACCUGCCCACUGAAAAAUUUUUGAAGGGCCGCAGUAUUUUGACUGUGCAAAGGUAGCAUAAUCAUUAGUCUUUUAAUUAAGGGCUUGUAUGAAUGGUUGGACGAGGUAAAUUCUGUUUUAUGUUAAUUUAAUGUUGAAUUUAGAUUUAAGUAAAAAUACUUAAGUGUUAUUAAGGGACGAGAAGACCCUAUAGAGUUUAAUAUAUAAAGUAAUUAAUUGAGUUAAAAAUUAAUUUUUGGUUUUUAUGAAAUUUAUUUAAUUGGGGUGAUUAAAAGAUAUAAUAAACUCUUUUUUUUAUUUAAUAAUAUAAUUAGUUAUAUGAUCCAUAUUUGAUGAUUAAAAGAUUAAAUUACCUUAGGGAUAACAGCAUAAUUCUUUUUGAGAGUUCAUAUCGAAAAAGGAGAUUGUGACCUCGAUGUUGGAUUAAGAUUAGUUAUGGGUGCAGAUGUUCAAUAACUAGGUCUGUUCGACCUUAAAAAUCUUACAUGAUCUGAGUUUAAACCGGCGUGAGCCAGGUUGGUUUCUAUCUUUAAUUAAUUAAAAUAUUUUAGUACGAGAGGACCAAAUAUUUAAAAUAAUUUUUUUUGAGUGAAUAUUAUUAAUU
rnacentral:rRNA from 1 species